AGCACAAACUCAGAAAGCUUUGCAGAAGGAAAAUAAUACCAAGCUGCGGCCAGCGUCUCUCUCUGCAGUGUCUGGACUCUGCAAAGAGGUUCAAGAUGAGCUCCCUCCUCAGGGUUUGAUUUGGGAGCCUGACAGAGUUUCUCGGAAGCUGCCUCCCUUUCUGCCUCCCUCAAAGCCUUAGCUGCCAUUCUCAGGAAUCACGAGAGCUAGAAAACUUUCACAUGACAGCUCGGGGUCAGGGUUUAUGCUUUUCUUGACCAGUUUCACCAGCGACAGGAUUUUUCUGUGUGUUUACAUAAGAAAUCAGCAGGAAUUGUAUAAGCUUGUGAAUUACGAAGAUAGGUCUUUCUUCAUUGUCCUCUCAAGGUGAAGGAGAAGGAUAAAACCAUGGUAUAAGGAGUGAAAAGAGCCAUUGAAAACAUUACUGCUUUUUGGAUGACUGCGGUGCUAACCAUGGUUGGGGGCCCACUUCAGCUGUGAAUGCUUGUCUUGCAAGUAAGAGGGUCUGAGUUUAAUUCACAGACCCCAGUUUGUGGCUUUUAAAGCCAGGCAUGUUGGUGUGCUUGUAAUCCCAGUGCUAGGAGGCUAGACAGACAAGUCCCUCUGAUUCUCUGGCCAGUCAAAAACUGAUCCAGUCUUUCUUUAUAAAAAUAAUAAUAAUAAUGUAGAAGACGCCUGAGGAAUGACACCCGGACUGUCCUCUGACUUGUACAUACGCUGGUGCAUGCAAACACUAAAGCGUCACAGAGAGCAUUUUCAAGUAAAGGAUUUUAAACU
rnacentral:lncRNA from 1 species